AGUGGACGCUGGCGGUAGGCCUAACACAUGCCAGUCGAACGGCAGCACAGUAAGAGCUUGCUCUUACGGGUGGCGAGUGGCGGACGGGUGAGGUAUACAUCGGAAUCUACUUUUUCGUGGGGGAUCACGUAAGGAAACUUACGCUAAUACCGCAUACGACCUACGGGUGAAAGCAGGGGAUCUUCGCACCUUGCGCGAUUGAAUGAGCCGAUGUGGGAUUAGCUAGUUGGCGGGGUUAAGGCCCACCAAGGCGACGAUCCGUAGCUGGACUGAGAGGAUGAUCAGCGGCACUGGAACUGAGACACGGUCCAGACUCCUACGGGAGGCAGCAGUGGGGAAUAUGGGACAAUGGGCGCAAGCCUUAUCCAGCCAUACCGCGUGGGUGGAGGAGGCCUUCGGGUUGUAAAGCCCUUUUGUUGGGAAAGAAAAGCAGCAGGUUAAUACCCCGCUGUUCUGACGGUACCCAAAGAAGAAGCACCGGCUAACUUCGUG
rnacentral:rRNA from 1 species